AUCCAGCUCACGAGUUUCAAAUAGGACGAAACGCGCGUCAAACUGGAU
rnacentral:hammerhead_ribozyme from 1 species